rnacentral:rRNA from 1 species
AUUGAACGCUGGCGGCAUGCCUUACACAUGCAAGUCGAACGGUACAGGUCUUCGGAUGCUGACGAGUGGCGAACGGGUGAGUAAUACAUCGGAACGUGCCCAGACGUGGGGGAUAACGAGGCGAAAGCUUUGCUAAUACCGCAUACGAUCUAAGGAUGAAAGCAGGGGACCGCAAGGCCUUGCGCGUUUGGAGCGGCCGAUGGCAGAUUAGGUAGUUGGUGGGAUAAAAGCUUACCAAGCCGACGAUCUGUAGCUGGUCUGAGAGGACGACCAGCCACACUGGGACUGAGACACGGCCCAGACUCCUACGGGAGGCAGCAGUGGGGAAUUUUGGACAAUGGGCGAAAGCCUGAUCCAGCAAUGCCGCGUGCAGGAUGAAGGCCUUCGGGUUGUAAACUGCUUUUGUACGGAACGAAAAGGCUCUGGCUAAUACCUGGGGCACAUGACGGUACCGUAAGAAUAAGCACCGGCUAACUACGUG